GGGCGAUUAGCUCAGUUGGCUAGAGCAUCUGGUUUACACCCAGAGGGUCGGCGGUUCGAGUCCGUCAUCGCCCACCA
rnacentral:tRNA from 1 species